rnacentral:rRNA from 1 species
ACUGCGACCUACAGUCAGAACGAAAUUCCGUGC